rnacentral:rRNA from 1 species
GACGAACGCUGGCGGCGUGCUUAACACAUGCAAGUCGAACGGAAAGGCCCUGCUUUUGUGGGGUGCUCGAGUGGCGAACGGGUGAGUAACACGUGAGUAACCUGCCCUUGACUUUGGGAUAACUUCAGGAAACUGGGGCUAAUACCUGAUAGGAGCUCCUGCUGCAUGGUGGGGGUUGGAAAGUUUCGGCGGUUGGGGAUGGACUCGCGGCUUAUCAGCUUGUUGGUUGGGUAGUGGCUUACCAAGGCUUUGACGGGUAGCCGGCCUGAGAGGGUGACCGGCGACAUUGGGACUGAGAGACGGCCCAGACUCCUACGGGAGGCAGCAGUGGGGAAUAUUGCACAAUGGGCGGAAGCCUGAUGCAGCAACGCCGCGUGCGGGAUGACGGCCUUCGGGUUGUAAACCGCUUUCGCCUGUGACGAAGCGUGAGUGACGGUAAUGGGUAAAGAAGCACCGGCUAACUACGUG